GAUGAAGAACGUAGCAAAAUGCGAUAAGUAAUGUGAAUUGCAGAAUUCAGUGAAUCAUCGAAUCUUUGAACGCACAUUGCGCCCGCCAGUAUUCUGGCGGGCAUGCCUGUUCGAGCGUCAUUUCAACCCUCAAGCACAGCUUGGUGUUGGGACUCGCGUUAAUUCGCGUUCCCCAAAUUGAUUGGCGGUCACGUCGAGCUUCCAUAGCGUAGUAGUAAAACCCUCGUUAUUGGUAAUCGUCGCGGCCACGCCGUUAAACCCCAACUUCUGAAUGUUGACCUCGGAUCAGGUAGGAAUACCCGCUGAACUUAAGCAUAUCAAUAAGCGGAGGA
rnacentral:misc_RNA from 1 species